AAUCAUCAAGACAUGGAUUUCCCGACAAGAAGGAAGAACAGGGACUGAAAAACACCACAGGGGAGAGACUAACCAGCAGCAGCUACGACAGAGGAAGGUCACAGGUCAUGCUCUGAGUGUCUGAGCCACUCCGCAUGAAGUUGCUUAUGUGUAGGCAGCCUCAAAGGAGCCAGACUGUCACUCCAAACAAAUAGAAGAGGUCCAGUGAAGUCCAGCAAACUCGUCUAUGGCAAUACUACUGUCCGACAUCUCAACCCAUGAGAUGGUGCUGCCACAUUCAAGAUGGGCCUUCCCUCGUCAGAUUAAUGUUUCUGAAAACACCCUCAUAGAUAUACCCAGAGGAGUGUUUCUACAGUGAUUCUAAAUCUGGUCGAAAUGACAGUGAAAAUCAACCAUCACACCACAUACUGCUCAAUAAAAAAUCAACUGUUCAUAGACUAUUGUUUUUUCCCCCACAUCUUCCAAGAUAAAAAUGAAGACGUAAUUCUUUCCUCAACUCCUCCAUGCCAGGAGGAUGUAAACACCUUCCUUUGCCUUUCCGCUCUCUGCAGCAGAUGUCUGAACAGCUCCGAGCACUGAGGCCCUCUGGACGGCAAGGAAAUGUCAUCGUCAGCACCCAGGCUGCCAAUACAGAUUUCACAGCUCAGCCCCACAGGGCCCAUUACCAUCCCACAUAAAAUCUCUUACCUAAUGUCCUUGACUAUACAUGGUCAGAAUCAAGUGCCGUAUUCUUAGGGUGCUCUAUCUCGCAUAUUACAAGGAUCCCAUUGCUCAAUCCUUUAGAACCCUCAACUCAACGUAAAACAGAACCCCUUGGUAAUCAUGCACAUCUAUUCCUAAAGCUGCCAGAUUUACAGCCAGAGACAGAAGUCUGUCCUUAGCACGCACAACAUCUACUGUGCUCAAGACAGAAUAUUGGCCAUUUAAUACCCAUGGGGUGUCUAAUGUCUUUGGAUGUCUAAGAUGCCAAGGCCUUGAUCAAAUUCUUUUAGUGGGUAUGGGAGUAACCAAACACCCAUAUCAGCUGUAAAAAGCAACUGAGGGUCACAUUAUUGACUUCUUUCUUC